AGUCGAGUAUUUGUUCUGUUUGACAGGAAAACGCUCGAAAAUCAAAAUCCGAACGUUAAUUAGUGAAAGCUAAGUAGGGUUUGGUGGUGGUGGGAUAUUCACUACCUGGGAAACUUCUGGAUUUGCCGUUUCAGCAACCCAACGGCCACUUCCUAACAGCCCCGAAAUAUUUGUGAAUCUAAAUUUAACGAAUGUAAACCACGAGCCUCCACAAGUUAUUCUUGUUUUUAUAUUUAGCUUCUUGUUUCAGUACCAUCCGCGGAUCAUUAGGGAGUUUACUGGUUUGGGUUCUACUUCCUCCAUAACAGUCGAGUUCGUCAAAUUUCUUGUUCCUGGAGCAUGAAUUGGAGAAGAAAUCUCCGCUGGUUGCGCAGUUGUGAGUAGACACUGGGAGUUAUGAGAUUAUCUGUUGUUUGUGGAAUUUGCGGCUGUACUAUCUGUUACAAGAAGCUACCAGAUUUACUUCACUUGAGCCAGGGAAAUGCCAUCUAAUUGUUUCAGAAGACUUCGUGGUGGAGCUUGGGAAGGAGUCUGGAGAUUGAUAUCUGGGAGAGAAACUGGGAUCCAGGAUCAGUUUUAUGGUUUGAUUGGCCAAGGGAAAUUGUUGCUCGGCAACUCGAGGCUGCUGCAUUCCUUGCCCUCUGGAGCAUUUACUGACCUGCAUGUUUUUGUCCGGCCUGGCACUAUCGCUGCUGCUCAAGCAAAUUUGUGUUUAGCCAACCGAAGGAAGAACAUUUCAGUUGUUGGAGCAUUUUCUCGGGCAAUCUCCAUACCAUCUGUUUCCGGGCCUUCAUUUCAAGUGUGUGGUUAUCAUAUUGAUCAUUUGCUAUCAGAGCCUAGUCAGGUUUUGGAAAUUAACACAGAAAAGGGACUUAUGGCUGUCUGUGGGUCUAAAUCAGCUCUUACUGACCGCUGUAUCAAUUUGACUUCUAGGCCUGCUCAACCUGGUGUGGCUGCAUAUCAUUCUUUUAGUUCUUACAGUAGAAGUAGUUUUGAAAAUUGUAGAAAAGCUACCAUGAGUUGGCAAAAUAAAGAGCAGCCUAAUAAUUUCUUGCUCUAUGGAUAUUUCAUAUACAAUGUUGCAAAGAGAAAGGGUAAUAGCAAUCCAUUUCUGGGGUUUGGUUUUGAGGGUUUCCAUAUCUCAUCACCUGCAUAUUCCUCUACUGGAACCGCACCAGAUGUGUCCUUUGAUAACUCUAUGAAGGAGGAACAGCAUUCAAGUUCUGCGGAUUCAUCUGAGCUGAAUGUUCCCAUUGACAGAACUCUGAAACUAAAUUCAGGGUCAUGUUACCUGCCCCAUCCUGACAAAGAAGAAACUGGUGGAGAGGAUGCUCAUUUCAUUUGUACAGAUGAACAAGCCAUCGGUGUAGCUGACGGUGUAGGCGGAUGGGCUGAUCUGGGUGUUGAUGCAGGACAGUAUGCGCGUGAGCUUAUGUCCAAUUCAGUUAAUGCAAUUCAAGAAGAACCAAGGGGUUCCGUUGACCCGGCAAGAGUUCUAGAGAAAGCAUACACUAGCACAAAAGCAAAAGGUUCAUCGACUGCUUGUAUUAUUGCCCUUACCGAUCAGGGUCUCCAUGCCAUUAAUUUAGGGGACAGUGGUUUUAUGGUGGUUAGAGAUGGAUGUACAGUUUUCAGAUCCCCUGUUCAGCAGCAUGAUUUCAAUUUUACUUACCAGCUGGAGAGUGGAAAUGCCGGCGAUUUGCCUAGCUCUGGACAGGUGUUUACCAUUCCUGUUGCUCCAGGAGAUGUUGUAAUUGCUGGGACUGAUGGGCUCUUUGACAAUUUGUAUAACAACGACAUUACUGCUGUUGUGGUUCAUGCUGUAAGAGCUGGUUUAGGGCCUCAAGCAACAGCGCAGAAGAUAGCAGCAUUGGCACGACAACGAGCACAGGACAAAAACAGGCAGACUCCUUUCUCUACAGCAGCACAAGAAGCUGGUUUCCGUUAUUACGGUGGGAAGCUGGACGACAUCACUGUAGUUGUUUCUUAUAUCACAAGUGACCACAAUGAAAGCCUUUCAUCCAAAAGCUCUCACUAGAGAAAUGGUUUGUUUUCCGUCAUAUCCAUUCCGUCAGAUCACUCCAAAUCUUGUCGGACAAAUGCUGUGCGAUCUGCGCUUUUACCACAAAUGGACACCUUAAAGCAGCUGUACAGAGAAAAUAGUGAGAAACCAAGAAGUUCAUCCAUAGUUUUGUCUCAUAGUGUUUCGGAAUUGUAGUCAUAAGUUUCUCCCCAGUUCCCACGUUGGUCUGCCAUCAUCAAGUCUGCAAUUGAAGUAUAAACCCUUUUUCCCAUCCCCUUCCAUUUUGCAAUUUUUCCAUAGUCAGCUCUAGCUAGCAUUUUCAUGUGAUCAGGUCUUUGGACUUUCAUCAGGUGCAUUUAGCCAACCCUGUCCCCUGAAAGACGAGGCCUACCUUCCUCUGCCCGGACCAAUGUUGAAUCAAGUUUAAUGAUCACUUGUUUGGUAAUAAGGGAUUGGUGGGACAGAGGUGAUGAAAUAACACAACAAAAGCCAAUCAGCUUUCUGUGUGUGGUAAUAUAUGAUGAUUUCGACAGUGUCAAUGUAUGCUCUCCAAAAAUCGAGAGACCCUUUCAAGAGAACUCUUCUUUCAUUCUUAAUUGUAUUAGGUAAGUUAAUACCUUGAUCGGUUCAAA